rnacentral:rRNA from 1 species
UUGGAGGGCAAGUCUGGUGCCAGCAGCCGCGGUAAUUCCAGCUCCAAUAGCGUAUAUUAAAGUUGUUGCAGUUAAAAAGCUCGUAGUUGAAUUUCGGGGUUAGUAGGUUGGUCAUGCCUCUGGUAUGUACUGGUCUCACUGAUUCCUCCUUCCUGAUGAGCCGUAAUGCCAUUAAUUUGGUGUUGCGGGGAAUUUGGACUGUUACUUUGAAAAAAUUAGAGUGUUUAAAGCAAGCUAACGCUUGAAUACAUUAGCAUGGAAUAAUGAAAUAGGACGUUCGAUCCUAUUUUGUUGGUUUCUAGGAUUGACGUAAUGAUUAAUAGGGAUAGUUGGGGGCAUUAGUAUUCAAUUGUCAGAGGUGAAAUUCUUGGAUUUAUCGAAGACUAACUACUGCGAAAGCAUUUGCCAAGGAUGUUUUCAUUAAUCAAGAACGAAAGUUAGGGGAUAGAAGACGAUCAGAUACCGUCGUAGUCUUAACCAUAAACUAUGCCGACUAGGGAUCGGAUGAUGUUAAUUUUUUAAUGACUCAUUCGGGGCCUUACGGGAAACCAAAGUGUUUGGGUUC